GAUUGUAGGGCGAGAAUGGCCACUAAAAAGCGCAACGCCUCUCAGGGGAUUGAGCGAACUAAAUCCUUGGUCGAACAGUACAAGAAGCUGGAGGUUGAUGAUGAUGACGUUGCGGCUGAAUUGAACAUCACUUCCUCCCGACAGAACGAGGAUUGGGAAAAACUUAGGGAACGAAUUCGUUCCUUAUGGGGUAGUUUGUAAUUAAGACACAUGAUGUCUUUUCUUUUUUGUACUUUUGUCCCUUAGGACAUUAAUUUCUUGUGCAUUUAUUUGAUAUUUAUUUUCUAAUCAUCAAUUCUUCAAGCAUUUAACUGCUUUGCAUUAAGAAUUUUGUCCAUUCCCUUUUGAUAUUCCCACUACUGUUCCCGAGACUUAGGGCCAUUUAUUUCCGUCUAUUAGACAGAAAUGUGGCUGUUCAUAUUCUGUCCCUUCAUCUUCACCCCCCUAUAAAUGUUUCGCAUUUUUCAUCCUCUAUCUUCAUCUCCUCAUUUUCUUAUUCGAAACCAAUUUGCUGCCAUUUCUUGGCAUUCUGACGAUCAAUCUGAUCCGAAAAUGGACAGUUUAGUCUGUCCGCCUUAUAUUUACUUUGAUGCCACCUUUGGUAUGGGAGGUAUAGGAAAUGUUUUCUGGCCCGCAGCGAAGUUUUUUCCUGCAAAAUUCUUCCCAUCGUCUCUUUGUUCUUCAUAAGGAGUCAAUGAUGGAAGACAAUUUCUGGGCUGCUCAUAGGCCAUUUUGCUUGCUGAGAGUGCUUCUCAGUUUGCUUGCUGAGAGUGCUUCUCAGCCUAUUUGCUCCCUAUUGCAGCGAUGCAUUUAGGAGGGUGGUGAGGCCAGUAAACCCUCUCACUCGUCAAUCCCACCACCGCAGCGAUGUAUUUAGGAAGGCAGUGUGAAGCUUACUCAGUGAUCGGCUAGGAGAUCAUCUUACUUUAGUUGUAUCUUGUAACAAGCCUAUUACUUGUAUCUUUUACAUCCUUGUAAUGAACGUUUGGUAAUAAAGAACUUUAUUUGAACGUAUUUCGCUCUGUCUUUAUUAUUUUUGAUCGUCCAAAUUGUUCGGUUAUGUUUUUAUCUGUUCGCAUUCCCAUAAAGAAGGAACAUAUUUUUUCAAAUAUUUGUCAUUAAUGAAUCUUACGUGCUUGGUGCCGUCUAAAUCUUCUAAAU
rnacentral:lncRNA from 1 species